rnacentral:rRNA from 1 species
CGUGUGAAUUGCAGAAUCCCGUGAACCAUCGAGUUUUUGAACGCAAGUUGCGCCCAAAGCCAUCCGGCCGAGGGCACGCCUGCCUGGGCGUCA